rnacentral:rRNA from 1 species
CUUUCAACAACGGAUCUCUUGGUUCCAGCAUCGAUGAAGAACGCAGCGAAAUGCGAUAAAUAAUGUGAAUUGCAGAAUUCAGUGAAUCAUCGAGUCUUUGAACGCACAUUGCGCCCCUCGGUAUUCCGGGGGGCAUGCCUGUUCGAGCGUCAUUACACCCCUCAAGCGUAGCUUGGUCUU